GACGUAGGGCGCAAGCGUUGUCCGGAUUUAUUGGGCGUAAAGAGCUCGUAGGCGGCUCGUUGCGUCGGCUGUGAAAACCCGCAGCUCAACUGUGGGCUUGCAGCCGAUACGGGCGGGCUGGAGUUCGGUAGGGGAGACUGGAAUUCCCGGUGUAGCGGUGAAAUGCGCAGAUAUCAGGAGGAACACCGGUGGCGAAGGCGGGUCUCUGGGCCGAUACUGACGCUGAGGAGCGAAAGCGUGGGGAGCGAACAGG
rnacentral:rRNA from 1 species